AUGGAUUUCCAUCACUGUUUACGAAACAAACUUGGUACUUCACUUCCUGGAAUGAAAAUGCCAAUAUUAAGAAAGGCAGACGGAAAUUAUGCAGGGCUAAAGUAUUUUGGACAGUUUCUGAGAAAGUUUGCAAAUUUGGUAAUGAAGGAUGGGUGGGUUUUGAAGAUUGGAUUUAGGGCAACGAAGAAAUUAGAGCAUGAAUGA